rnacentral:rRNA from 1 species
CUACGGGGGGCAGCAGUUAGGGAUAUUCGGCAAUGGGGGAAACCCUGACCGAGCAAUGCCGCGUGAAUGAAGAAGUAUUUCGAUAUGUAAAGUUCUGUUGUUAAGGAAGAAAGGUACGAAUAGGAAAUGAUUCGUAAUUGACGGUACUUAACCAGAAAGCCCCUGCUAACUACGUGCCAGCAGCAGCGGUAAUACGUAGGGGGGCGAGCGUUAUCCGGGAUUAUUGGGCGUAAAGGGUGCGUAGGCGGCCUGUCAAGUCCGAGUUGAAAGCCCACGGCUUAACCGUGGAGGGUGCUCGGAAACUGAUAGGCUUGAAUCCAGAAGAGGCAAGUGGAAUUCUAGGUGGAGCGGUGGAAUGCGUAGAUAUAUGGAGGAACACCAGUGGCGAAGGCGGCUUGCUGGGCUGGUAUUGACGCUGAUGCACGAAAGCGUGGGGAGCAAACAGGAUUAGAUACCCCCGUAGUC